rnacentral:rRNA from 1 species
UAAGGAAUAUUGGUCAAUGGACGAAAGUCUGAACCAGCCAUGCCGCGUGAAGGAUUAAGGUCCUCUGGAUUGUAAACUUCUUUUAUCUGGGACGAAAAAAGGCGAUUCUUCGUCACUUGACGGUACCAGAUGAAUAAGCACCGGCUAACUCCGUGCCAGCAGCCGCGGUAAUACGGAGGGUGCAAGCGUUAUCCGGAUUCACUGGGUUUAAAGGGUGCGUAGGCGGGCAGGUAAGUCAGUGGUGAAAUCCUAGAGCUUAACUCUAGAACUGCCAUUGAUACUAUCUGUCUUGAAUAUUGUGGAGGUUAGCGGAAUAUGUCAUGUAGCGGUGAAAUGCUUAGAUAUGACAUAGAACACCUAUUGCGAAGGCAGCUAACUACGCAUAUAUUGACGCUGAGGC